CAGGUGCUGCAUGGCUGUCGUCAGCUCGUGUUGUGAAAUGUUGGGUUAAGUCCCGCAACGAGCGCAACCCUUAUCCUUUGUUGCCAGCGAUUCGGUCGGGAACUCAAAGGAGACUGCCGGUGAUAAACCGGAGGAAGGUGGGGAUGACGUCAAGUCAUCAUGGCCCUUACGAGUAGGGCUACACACGUGCUACAAUGGCGUAUACAAAGAGAAGCGACCUCGCGAGAGCAAGCGGAACUCAUAAAGUACGUCGUAGUCCGGAUUGGAGUCUGCAACUCGACUCCAUGAAGUCGGAAUCGCUAGUAAUCGUAGAUCAGAAUGCUACGGUGAAUACGUUCCCGGGCCUUGUACACACCGCCCGUCACACCAUGGGAGUGGGUUGCAAAAGAAGUAGGUAGCUUAACCUUCGGGAGGGCGCUUACCACUUUGUGAUUCAUGACUGGGGUGAAGUCGUAACAAGGUAACCGUAGGGGAACCUGCGGUUGGAUCACCUCCUUACC
rnacentral:rRNA from 1 species